UAAGGUUGUUUUUUGUUUGCGGCCCACAUGAACUUAAUCCUUGUUUAUGUGGGCCGCAAACAAAAAACAACCUUAAAUUUUCAU